rnacentral:tRNA from 1 species
AUUCAUUUAAGUGUUUUGCACGUAAACUUUUGGAGUUUAAAGAUUUUUGAUUUUCGAAGCAUUAAUAAGAUGUAUU